rnacentral:misc_RNA from 1 species
CUGUAAAUGAUCAAUGAAUCUUCCUGGAGUAGCAACAAUUACAUCCACUCCAGCUCUUAGUUCAGACCUCUGGUCAGCAAUGUUAGUUCCACCAACAACUAUUGCAGUUCUAAAGCAUUCGAGAGAUCUGCUAAAACAUUUGACCUCCUUUUCAAUCUGUUGGGCUAGCUCUCUGGUAGGAGCCAACACCAAUGCCAGCGGUCCAUCGCCACGCCAAAUGGGAGACUGAGCCAAGCAGUGCUGUAUCAUCGGAAUGGCGAAUGCAGCAGUUUUGCCACUACCAGUUUGAGCACAACCUAACAAAUCUC